GGCCAACCUAUCCUGAACUGUCUGAAACCAAACAAAGAAGAAAUGCAUCUUCCCAUUAUUGAGCAAGAGAAAGAUCUGGCACAGCUUCAGGGUAGAUAGAGGAGCUUUAAGUUUGCCCUGCUCAGAGUUACUGUAAUUGUGCUGGCACCAUUCCCAGAGCUGAGCUAAGGUCAGUGAGAAACCUGUAAAUUAAUAACUGUGGAGCUGAUGUGAUCUCUAUCCAGGAAUCACAUUGUACAUUCAUGAAGCUUUAUAGGAGACAAAAUUCAUGUUUCAGUUUUUAUAAGAAAUGUUUAAAUAUUUUAAAUCUUAAUAUUGACAGCUCAGUCCCUGGACCUAGUCAUAGAUAUUGGACCUGAUUCUGAUCUCACCAUCACAGAAACUCCACAAAACAGGUUAAUCUUGAUUAAUUACAUUGCUACUACCAAAAUGAAUAGGAAUUGGGGUAAAUUUCUCCACAACCCAAGCCUGGAUGGAAAUGUUUUCCUUUGGGUUUUUAUCUUACAAGUAAGUGAUUUGUCUGUCCUCCUGGUUUGAUCCCGUCACAAACAACAUCCAGUUAUCCUGAUUAAUACUAUUGAUUAAUAGCUCAUUGCUGUUGCCACUUGCAUUAUUAACAUAUAGAAACUCCAUUGUGCUACAACCUAGAAAUGCAGGACCAGAAGGGGCUUUCUGAUCAGAGGAACCAGUUUUCUGCUAUUGCAGGUGCAAAUGCAAGUGGAAUGGAAGUCCCCACUGUACUAAAAAGGUUUUGUAAGCACAUGACCCUUCAUUGUGUACCACUACGUUCUAUUCAAUUCCUAUUACACCAACCCCUUCUUCCCGUCUUUCUCUGAUAAUUCCCCUUAAUCAUUAGCAAAUGUCAUUAGUGUGGUUCUGUCUUUUCCAAAUGGCACUAACUGAAACUAAGAUGAGUAUUGUCCAAAAGAACCCUGACUACAAACUGUCUUUCAGCCUGGCAGUUCCCUUUGCAGUAUGCAGUCUGACAGUCCCCGUUAGCCAGCCCUGUAAUCGCAUUUUUGUCUAGUCAGAAUCCCUUUUCCAGCAGAACUAUCAAUCUCCUUUGGGACACAGUACUGAAGGCUGUCCUAAAGUCAAAAGCUAGUUGUAUAUUUUUCAUUAUCUGGUAAGAUUCGUCCUCCUACCAGAGGUAGCUAUAAUACCCUUUUGGUAGACUCUUGACACAUUUUCCCAUGUCUUUAAUUCUGCUCGCAGUCAAAAUUUGUUCUAAAAUGUUGCGUGCAGUUAGGGGUUAGACUCAUGAAUGUGUGUUAGUCUACAUCUCCUCUUUCUUACCUCUCAAUUUCUUCAGAACUGGCAUGCACUUUUAGUCCUUUAUUUCUGUAGCAUCAUCACAAAUGUGACAAUUUUGUUCUUUCAGCACAGCAACGCAGAAAUUACUCAUUUGCCAAGUGAAGUGUAUUAAAAUCCUGAAACUUUGCUUUCCUUGGAUAACGUUUAUUUCUGUGCAGUUUUCAUUAGCCAUUUAACACAUCCAACACAAUAACACUGCCACAGUAACACUAACGUUGACAAUUCCUCUAUCUGUUAAGAACUAGCAACUACCAUGGCUUUCUCAAAAAAAAUCAGCUCAGGUCUGCAGUAACAGCUUUGGUUGAAGCCUUGACUAUGGCAUUAACCUCACAAUUUCAUAUGCU